CCUGGGUGGGAACAAGUCUUUUGGCCUUGAAACUUUAAAAACUUUGUUACGUGGUGGUGUAUAAAGUAGCUGUUUUUUGAAUUGGGUUGUAGUGUAGAAGGAGAAAGAAAGUUCUAAAGAGAGGAAGAGGAUCGAAGCUUGUGUCAGAGGAGGAGCCUCAGGAUUCACAGACCACUCAUAGAUUGCUUCAAGUGCUUGGAGGUAAGGCUAAAGGAAAGAAUUGCUGUCUCCAAGGGGGCAUGGGUGUGAGACCAAUGAUGGAAGUUGUUAAAGGUGCUGCCUUUGAUAUCCUGCAGGUAGCCAGUGGCUCUCCUGCAUCUUUAAGGCCCGUUUGCUUGUUAGACUUGUAUAGUGGCACUGGAUCUGUUGGUAUUGAAAUUCUCAGCCGAGGAUGUUCUGAGCUCCCUUUUUUUUCGAGAUGGACCCUUGGGUUGUUUGCAAUGUUCUGCAACCAAACUUAGAAGGGACUGGGUUUCUUGAUGUUUCAUCUAUACAUACUGUUCGUUUUGAAGAUUUCAUAGAUCGAGCAAAGCAAUUUAUAGGCAGUGGAGUAUCCUUUAAGAAAAGAUAUGCUGGAUUCAUGUGGACGUCUUAUGAAGAUAAAAGAUUGAAGAUUUGGUCGGACUCAUCUGGCAAUAUAUGGACCUGAGUGGGCGCAGAAGAAAAGAAAGUCAUAGAAGAUGCUUCAAACAGUAGAAAUGAAGUUUGACUACUUCUGCGCGUGUAAAAGUAAAAUACUAUGUUCUGAGGUUUAAUGAUUUGGCAGUGGAUUCAUUGAGAGUCAAUGAUACAUGUAGAGGUUAUAAAAUCUACUACUCUAACUUGUGGAUGAUACACUUGCCACUCCGCUCCAGGAAUAUUCAUGGGAGGAAAAAUUAUGAAAGAAACAAUUCUGAAUACUGUUUCCAUUACAACUCAUCUCUGACCUCCACUUUGAAUUGAAGAAAAAUACCAUAUGGCUUUAAAUAAAGACUGGUCUUGGAAUGUUUUAAAAGUUUUAAAGCAAUCAUUGGGCGUGGUGUUCUUAUAAUUCAUGAUAGAGCUACAUAUUAUUGGAUCUGGCAGUGAAAAGUGGCAUCCCAACCAAAACCUGUCCUGCUGUACUUUUUAAAUGCGAAGGAGGUUGCAUAAAGUGCAUGUUGUUGCACCUAAUAUGUUUCUAUUUGUGUAGAAUCAACAUUGGGUCCUCCAAAUAUGUAUACAUGUUACAUGCGUUACCCAUGUCUUUAUAGGAGAUGGGUUGUAUUGAAGAAUACUGUGUGCAAAAGCGUGAAGCCUGUAAAGAGCAGAGCACUUUGAUUUUGCUGGGGAAGAUGGACCACCUCAAUUGAUACUUUGAGUUUAAAUGGGGUAUCCUUCUCUUUUAUGUUUGUUUAUCUAUACGAAUUUCCCAAGACAAAAGGAACUUGCUAAAGGAACAAUCAAAACUUGAAGCAUUCAGUUGUGCUACACUAAGUUAUUAAUGCUCUCAUUUGGUGUGCUAAAUUUGAAUAUUAGUUCCAGGUGAUUUAGUUUGAGGUUCUUUAUGUUAGUCUUGUACAUAGGAAAAUGAAAACUAUUAAUGGUCCUAAGUGUAUAAUACACAAUUAUUUCAGGGAAAUUGUAGUCAAUGUAUACAUGUUGAAGUAUGCCAGAUUUUUUAACUUAACAUUUGAUCAGGUUUAAGGCAUGCUCAGUGUGCAGUGAUUAGGAUUGACUUUAAUUCUGUGUGAACUGGUUUGGGAAUUUUAUUCAACGAGUUAACUUGUAGUGAGUAUUACUACCUCUCUUUUUUCCUUUGUGUCUUUUAGUUUGGCCAAUGUAUUCCAAUAGGUGACUGAGAGCUUUUCCCUUCCACGAUUUUUGAAACUUAAUUUUCAAGUAUUCAUAAUGCAAUUUUCACUGCAGAUUUUUGUGUUUGCCAUUGCAGUCACAGCAUGUAGUUUUUCAUAUCAUUAUCCUUCUUAGGUGUCUUAUUUGCUUUCAUUCUUCUUUGCACUCCCACUCUUUUAUUUAUUUAUUUUAUAUGUUGGAGAUUAAAAGAUAUAAUUGAUCAUAAUGUAGUGGGAGUUGGGACCAUUUAAGAAAAUUUCUUUUGAGAAGAUCCCUUUGUGGGACCCAAUGUAUUGGUAUCCAUUAAGCAACUGGUGAAGAAAGAAUUGUGACCUUUAGCAGACCUUGCAUUACCACAUGAUUGAAAGAAUUGUCUCACAAUUGUCAUUAAACUGCAUCACUUUAGGGGUAAUCCCUUACUAAAGGUCAGAUUUGUUGAUGCAAUCAUAUCUGGCUUUGAAAAUGAUGGCUUUCUGUCCUGUCCAUCUGGAACAGCAAGAAGGAUUACUUAGAAACCAGAUUUUCACAUUUUAUUUACAUGUAUUAUUUUGAAACUAUUAGAAGGAAAGCUGUUCUGAUAACCUACUAUUGGUCUUCAUACAAUUCAAUUGACUGAUGCAAUAAGGCCAGCUAGAUUAUUGAUUGAUUACUUUCACCAAUGAUUGUGACUGAGUUUCUGUUCAGCUAAAUAUUUUAUAAUUUACGAUAUGUACAUGGCUGCCUCUAGUAUGUUAUUCUUGCAUGGCAAGCUAUUCAAUUGUUUUGUUUUUCAAGUUCAGUUUGCUUUAUUCUUUGGGAUUCUAUAGCCUGCUCAACUACAUGGGUAUUGGUGGAUCCGCUUCUGCUACCAUUCUCUGAAAGUUUUCUUGUUAGCCAGGGCAUUACUAUCUGAAAGUAUCUACUUGUUCUAUUCCUCUGUAAUCGACCUUGCCAAGAAAAUCAAUAUAUGAAUUUUUGUUAAUUUUUGAAGAUCAUGCAGAGCCACUGAUCUUGUGGUUACUCAAUUUUGUGCUAUUAAUUAUCAUAUGACUUUCAUUUCGUAUAUCUUGCUCCGUAUUUCUUCAUUGUGGUGCAUUGUUUUUGUGAAAAAAUAUCAGAAUGUGAAACUUUCUAAGUUGUGCUGGAUUCUUUGAGUGACAAUGGGACUCGCUGAGAGUAUUAUGAGCUUCACUUUUUCUAAACGGUGUGGAACCCAUUCUCGCAUGCAUGUAUGUUUGUAUCAUACAAAGAUUGAGGUAGUAUUUGGGAACUUCGAAAAAAAAUCUUUGCUGCGAAAAUGUCUCUAAUGAUGAAUGGUCUAUUGAAUUAUCCAUGAUACUGUGGUCCAUUUGUUAUGUGCUAAACUAGGAGACCAUUAACAAUUAUUGUCACAAUAUCCCAGUGACUAAAAAAGCUCCAGAGAGCUAGAAACUCUUAACUUUUAGCUCUUAUUGCUGUUUCUGAAUUGUUUUGUUUUGUUUUGUUUUGUCUUGGUGGGACUUUGUGGAGCCUGUUUGAAUGCAUUCUUUGACAAAUUGCCUGCUACAGUUUUCAAUGCAUAUUGGUUAAAUCUUAAACCAAAAUGUUACCGAAGCAAGAGAUCUGUUACUCGAAGCAAAGCUAAGAUAUGCUUUUUGCCAUCGAAUAAUUCCUGUAUCAUUGAAAGUAAUUGAUGGAGCCCUCUGUUUCUGGUUGUUUCUCCAACACAUCUCUUUCAAUAUAUACAUAUAGGUUUGUUAGAUGAUUUUUUCUUUGCUUGGCAUAUACUUGUGGAUUUGUCCAUUAGUUGUAACUCUACGUGGAGAAAAAAUACUUGGUGCUUUCUAGCAAUUUUUGAUAAAGUAAUCAAAGAUUUAUCCCUUAAGCUGUGCCAAGAAUUGACACUUUUUUCUCUCCAAAUUGUUGCAUAUUGGCUCAAGGCCCUAUGUUUAUGAAGGCUUAUAAUAAUACAUUAGAGUUAGGGGAGAGAGUGAGGUCCCCCUGUUAUCACUACAUGAAAAUGCACAAACCAAAGCCAACAAAGGGAGCAGAAGUGGACCAGUUAACAUAUAAAGCAACAAGGUUCCCUGUUAUAUGCUUUGAAUGUCCUGCCAUUGUGGUAUGUCCAGAGCUUGUAGGAAGUAACAAGCCAGUUGGAGAUAUUAUGAGGAGUGGUAGCUGGGGUUUGAGAACUUGUUUGGGGGCUGUUCUAUUGUUUGUCAUCA